CAAUAGCGUAUAUUAAAGUUGUUGCGGUUAAAAAGCUCGUAGUUGGAUUUCUGCCGAGGACGACCGGUCCGCCCUCUGGGUGAGUAUCUGGCUCGGCCUGGGCAUCUUCUUGGAGAACGUAGCUGCACUUGAUUGUGUGUCCAGCUAUCUAAGACUUUUACUUUGAGGAAAUUAGAGUGUUUCAAGCAAGCAUGUGCUUUGAAUACAUUAGCAUGGAAUAAUGAUAUAGGAUUUCGGUUCUAUUUUGUUGGUUUUUAGAAUUGAAAUAAUGAUUGAUAGGGAUAGUCGGGGGCAUUCGUAUUUCAUUGUCAGAGGUGAAAUUCUUGGAUUUAUGAAAGACGAACUACUGCGAAAGCACUUGCCAAGGAUGUUUUCAUUGA
rnacentral:rRNA from 1 species